UGGGCCGCAAACCCCUCCACCACACCGUCGCCAUGCAGCGGGUCUCGCAGCUCACGCUCCGACGCCUCCUGUCGCCGCCGUCCGCCGCCGCGGCCGCUCGCCGGGCUGCGCCGGUCACUGCGGAGGCUGUUUCCGGCGGAGGAUCAAUCCUGCUGCCCCGAGUUGGUGGCGCCGGAGUAGCAGCGAGCGAGUGGAGUGGCGGCGGCCAGGGGCUCUGGUUGGCUCGGAGGCUCUGCACCUACGACGAGAGAGAUGACAGGGCGCUCGAGGAAGAAGCUGAGAAGAAGUUUGGAUGGAUAUUGAAGAUAUUUUUCCUAGGAACUGCUGGCCUAGUUGGCUACCAAUUCUUUCCAUAUAUGGGGGAUAACCUACUUCAGCAAUCUAUUUCACUUUUGCGUGUUAAGGAUCCCUUGUUCAAGCGGAUGGGAGCUUCCCGGUUAACUCGUUUUGCAGUGGAUGACCAAAGAAGAAUGAAGGUGGUUGAGAUGGGGGGAGCUCAGGAACUUCUUAAUGUAUUGGAAGGUGCUAAAGAUGAUAAAACACGUAAAGAAGCUCUAAAAACUCUUGUUGCACUUUCUAAAUCCGCUUUUGCACAAAAGGAGAUCCCAUUGACAAACUUCCCACUGUUUCUCUCUUCAUCUAGGUCAAUCUGUAAUGAUUCCAAGUUCUAUUUUGAUUGUUGAAGUUUUGAAAGUUUAUUAGAUUUUACACACCCAAAAGAAGGCACAACUCAGGUUGCCAAGAAUAUUGGAAUUUAUCAACUUUGGUGAUUUGGUCCAACUCUCAUGAGUCAUGGCUCUAGGAGCGUUUGUGUCAUGUUGCUGAAUUGCCAUUGUUUUGUGUUACCUAACAUUUAACACUUGCUGUAUGCCCGUUCUGUGAUCAUGAUUUCUUGCAUUUGCUCUUUGUUCCUUUUUUUUUCCUUUUGAUGAUGUGGUAGGAGCUCUGCUAUUCAUUGAUAGAAGAAAAAGUUUUACAAGAAAACAAAAAUUGGGAACAUCAAAAGAUCCCAUCAAGAACACAACAGAGAAACCCAAAACAGUUCACAACUUUAGGAAGAAACCAUCAUCCCAUGGUAGUGCAAUUAACUUAGGCCUCUUUUGGAUCACUGCCCUGCCAAUUUUUUGGCACUGACCACAGCAUUGACCAUUUGUAUGGAAGCUAAUAAUUGGAGAGCCAAAACUUGCAUCACACUGCCCCAUUGGUUUUCUCACCAGCGGCUGGCCGAACUCAGGGUGGCAGAAUCCUUCGUAAAAAAAAUGGUGAGCCAGUGAAUUUGCGUGGCGAGCUGGGGUCAUAUCCAGCUUCAUUUGCAGGGCACCCAUGUUGACAAAAAAAAAUCCUCUGAAGCUAUGUUAAAAAUGGCAUUUGCUUGAACAGAGUUUGUUUGGAAGGUCCAGCUCUUCUGUUUCUUCCAAAGGUUCCAACAAACAUAAGAAGCUGCAGGAUUUUUGGACAUGGCAGGUGCCUAUGCAAUAGUCAGCUCCACUCCCAACUCCUCAGUAUACGCUGAGAUCGAGACGUACAAGACUAGUUUUCUGACGGCCUUAGAUAAACUGAAGUCAUGACG